rnacentral:rRNA from 1 species
GAUGAACGCUGGCGGCGUGCUUAACACAUGCAAGUCGAACGGAAAGGCCCUGCUUUUGUGGGGUGCUCGUGUGGCGCACGGGUGUGUAACACGUGUGUACCCCGCCCUUGACUGUGGGGUAUCUUCAGGGAACUGGGGCGAAUACCGGAUAUGAGCUCCUGCUGCAUGGUGGGGGUUGGAAAGUUUCGGCGGUUGGGGAUGGACUCGCGGCUUCUCAGCUUGUUGGUGGGGUAGUGGAUGCCGACGGCAUUGACGGGUAGCCGGCCUGAGAGGGUGACCGGCCACAUGGCGACGGAGAUACGGCCCAGACUCCUACGGGAGGCAGCAGUGGGGAAUAUUGCACAAUGGGGGGAAGCCUGAUGCAGCAACGCCGCGUUCGGGAUGACGGCCUUCGGGUUGAAAACAGCUUUCGCAUGUAACGAGGCGUGAGUGACGGUAAUGGAUAAAGAAGCACCGGCUAACUACGUG